UAUUUACUGAAGAGCCUCACUUGAAAGCAAGUCUCUCCACCUCAGCUGUGCUGUUAGAAAAUCUCCUCUUCUUUUUUACAUGUGACACAAGUUUUUUUUUAGUUCACAUCAGGCAACCUGGAAUUGUAAUCCCACCCACCUUAUCUUGACAAGAUAAGAAGAAUCAGGUCAGUGAGGAAUUGUGUGCUGCUUGUCAGUCCCAGGCUUAGCUUGAAUUAAAUCCCGGAGUUGUCGUCUUUUCCGGUUUGCAGUCAACACUGAUCAUAUAACAUCAACUGACAAGACUGUUUUGAAUCCACACACGUGGAGAAAGAGCAAUUUAUCCCCUGCCCAUUCAGCCUUGUGGCAGCUGCCUAGGCCUGUGUCACUAAGCUUGCUGGGAGAACGCCUCACCAGGAGGGAUGAAGAGCCUAAUGCCCCUCCAGCCUGCUGCCACAGACAGACCAGCUCUCUGACGAAGCAACCAGGAAACCAGCUCCCACAGACAUGCUGUAUAAAUAGAUCUUCCAUUUUAAACACAGAAACUGGAAGGAGGGGGAACACUGCAAACUGACAGACCUGAAAAUCCACAACAAUUGACUGACAGACAAAUUAGGCGCUAAAGCAGACAAACACAGUGGUGCAAACCCAAGAACUAGGUCAAGAAAUGUGAGCAAAUGUAGGAAUGGAAUUUAGUAUUUAGUAUUGUUUACUGGUGUAAUUGUGUAUGUAUGACAUCAUUUCUGGUUAAAACCAGCAGUGUGUGAUUUGUUGGCCACUUGAGAGCAACAGAAAUAAGUUCUGAACACUGACAUAUCAUCCCCAUUUAAGUUGAUAACAGUGAAGCGGUUAGAGAACACUUCAUUAUGCACAAACGGCAGUUACAGAUGGUUCAGCAUUCACUCUCUUUUAGCUCUGCUUUUGGUCUUUUCUCAACUCCUGCAAGAAAAAUCUGGCUCUUGGGCUGCUAAAUGCUACACUAUGUUCACCAGCUAGUCUGAACAAGAGUUUUGGUUGAAAACAUUGAAAACGCCACUAAAAUUCUAGACAGCAUGCGUCGGAAUUACAAUUUCAACAUUAUGACAUUUAUGUAUUAUGUUGCUAAGUAUGUUUAUCAUGCUAAUCAGCUAGCCGUGGCCCGACCUGGUCUAAAUCUCAUGUGCUAGCAGUGUGAUCACUAUCACCUGAGCUCCCAGUCCAGACUGCUAGCUACACAGCUAACUGAGCUAACUAGAUAACUGUUGUGACUGCCUUGUCAAGAUCCCUUCAAGCAGUGAUGUAUUUUGGGUAAAUUUGGUUUAUUCUGUGAAAUGAAAAAAGGUUUGUAAGAAAUGAAUCUUCAGGCUAUACCAGAAUAAGACUAUAAAAAAUGUUCGAUACUGGUAAUGAAACCCGUGAUUAUUAUUGGUGCAAAAAUAACAGCCAUUAAUUCUCAUCUGCUGAACUGGUCACUACUGCUCAUACAUCCAAUAUUGUCAUUUUAAGUUUAUAAAAUAAUGCUUAGAUACUGUUACUGAAGCAAGACUUGUUGCUAUCAUGACGUGAUGACAUUGUCAAAAAUACGAUGGCAGGUGGAACAGGUUUAGCAGAAGUGUGUGUAAGCAAUUGUGAUUUCAUCCUGGUGAUUAUGACAGUUGGAAUGGGGAGUGACCGAAGACGCGUGUUCAGUCUGCAAAUGCAAACGUGGCAAAUGUUGGAUAGCAUAGAAGCGCAGUGGAGUAGGUGUGUUUUAGUGCUUCGAACCAGAUCAUAUUUAAGCCAUGGUGACACACCCACCUAUGCAGCCACAGCUUCUGCACAUCAUUAGGCUGUACCAUAGAAAACCACACAGACAGGUGUCACACUGGUGUAGGUCACCCUCCCAGCCUAUGUGGUCCACUGAUUUGGGGUAAAUGUCUCAACAUACUUACCGACUCACUGAUCCUCUUUUUACUUUAACUGCGAUUCAUGAGAAGACAAGUCAAGGAUUCACUAAUGGAAGAAAUGGAAGACAUCUGCUAUGCCGUCAGACUUAGUUGUCUCAAAACUUUUGACAUUUCAUCCAUUUUUAAUUUAAGGAUACCAACAAGUUUGGGUAUGUUAACAAUGUUCUUUUAAUAACCCAGCUAAUUUUAUCUGAACACACACUAUUUAGUUACAUUUGUUCUAUGAGCCCUACAGGCCGAGACACACCAGGCCAAAGGUCGGCUGUAGGGCAUUGUCAGGGCCAUCAGUGAGCAUCAGUGGCCCAUACUGUUGGCUCUGGACACUCCUCGUUGGAGGCUUUUUGGCCGAUUCAAUAGAAUUGGGGGGAGAAAUCAGUCUGAUAGGCUGUUCAGGUAAGGGCCACGUUGUUGUAGUAACCAUGAUUUCACCAGUUGCGCUUUCUCCUCAUUUUUCUUCCCUGCCUCUUCACCAGCAUCAUUUGCAUCUUUUUAUCAGCUGAUUCACGAUUAGAAGCAGUUAUAUUAGUUUUAGCGUUGUUUUAAAAAGUGCUGCCAAACCAUAUCCACAGAGUGAGAGGCACUUUCCUUUCAUGCAGAUGCAGAACGUACAGUCUCGUUGGUCACUGACUGUAGUCUUCACAGGUGUGUUCAUGUGUAGCUUUGGAGGGAGACGUGUGGCGACGAUGUUCUUUGGUGUCACUUUGGUGUGUGAAGGCCUUAAUGCACACUCUUAAUUAAGCAGUGGCUGUGACCUACCUAAUACCUCAGCCAUCCAACAGGGGAGAGAUCGUUAUGGGUCCUUUUCAAAACACAAAUA